GCUCACCCGUUAUGUCUCGAACGCUUGAGACAAUAUUUAUAUUUGCUAAGUUAGUAACAAAUUGUUUCUUUAGGCGUUAACAGACAAAUAAAAAGCCCAAUUGUAGUCAAGGGAAAAUAAACGUUUUGUCGUGUUUGUUGUCAGGUGCAAUUUUCGCGCCGCUUCACGGGAUAACAACACACUAGCCUUUCCCAGGGAAGUGACGUAACUAGUUUUAAAGUUCAGAGCUAGUACUUAAUUAAUAAUUUAAUAAGGGACAGCGUGAAAUUGCAUCUACGUGCUUAGAGCUUCAGUUCUGGGUGAGAUCUAAAAAUAAUUAAAAUGACAGAAGAAGAUAACAGUCUACAGAGAGAAAGGGUCCUAACUCUACCAUCUCCAGUAAAACGACGAAGAACACAUAGGAUAGUAACAAAUGAGUACAGUGAAGAAAAUAUCUUUGACUUUCCAGAGUUUUUGACAUUUGAGAAUACUACUAAAUUCCCCUCCUCAAAAAGUAUCCUGCAGAAGAAUCUAAUUGUAAUUUGCACAGCAGACAAUGAUGAUAUGCAAGAGGAAUCGUUUAUACAACUGCAAGACAUCAAAUUAAUCGUGACACCUAGAGUGGCCACUUCUGUCACUGAUGAUGCGAGUAGGCUCUUGCCUAAAGUAUGUGUUAUCACUGCUGAGAGACACCUUGCAAAUCCAGGAAAAGAUCUGCUUACUAGAAGGGACAAGCCCUUUUCAUACCUGCCAAAUGAGGCAGGUAAUGCAUUAGUAGAAUCUUACAUUUCAACUGACAUCUCAAGUUCUUCUGAUGCAGUCUGCCAUUGGCUGGGGAAAUCACAGGCCCUUGAUUUCACUCAAAACGGCAAAGAUUGGAGAGAGGCUCAAUGCAGUGUCACUAAAAUGCAAGCAUUCACUCUCACCUGUGAUGAGGAGAUUAUAUGUCAGUCUGACUGCUCCCGUGGAAAUGUGGUAUGUGACACAGUUAACACUUUGAGACAGUCUGAUGGAGCUGAGGUGAGCACUCAGAAGUGGGACCAGCACAUAUUCAGUGAGAGUAGUCUUAUCGGUACAGAAGGACAGGUGGGCAACGGCUCACGAUCUUGUAGUCAUUAUGCAGACUUUGAAAUAAACCACUUGUACCCUAAAAAGGACCACACAAAUGAGGAACAGCUAAUACAGUCACAGAUUUGCAAAAGUGACAGGUUCACCAUUUGUGAUGAGGAAACAAAAAGUCAAGUUAACAAGAAGAAGAGCAUGGGCAAAAACCCCUUUAUCUCUCCUGCUGAUAUCUCUGUGUUCCCCCAUGAUGUGGUAUUAGGCAGAAAUACAACCACUGAGAAUGUGAGCUUCGAAAUUGAUGACCUCUGUGGGGUGAAAGAAGAGUAUGAUGCUGACAAGAUGAAAGCAUGGAAUGAAAUAGACGAUCACACAACAGAGGCUCCAGAAUCUGAAAAAAUCAGUCAAGAGCUUGCUGAAGAAGAUAACACUGUAGGCCUUUACAGUGUAAUUGACCCUGCAAUCUGGAAUGAACCUGACAGGGAAGCUGAAGAGCGACAGUGUAACUCAGCGAGUACUCCAGGUGUAGAAUUAUCUCCAUCAGUUGAAGUCUGUGUGAUGAAAAUGCCUCCUCCGCUCUGUUUUGAUGUCAGGACAUCACAGGAGGUUUCAGCUCCCAACCAGAUCAGGCAGUUUUAUCACCAAAGCGUAACACUGCAGAGCAAAGAUGAAAAAGAGGACUUGUGUCAGUCACAUAAAGAACCUUCCAUCACCUCCAGUGAACCCUACAACAUGACAGGCAAUCAAAGCAGCAGUCCAUGCCAUCCUACAGCUCCUCCUCCUGCUGGGGAGGGAAGACAAGAAAGUCACAGUGUUGUGGAACUUCAGCUGAAAGAGGAGGAUCAGUUUGACUCUUUUCCUAAUAACCUUGACAGCAUAAGGACACAGGAAGCAGAACAAUCACAGGGUGAAGUUUCCAGAACAGCCUGGAUAACUAUGAUUAAAGAAGGAAAAAAUUUGUCAAGUUUUGAAGAAAUAAAAACUGAUCCACAUAUGGAUUUAGAGAAAGUGGAGUCAGAGGAAGAACUUCUGCAUCGACAUGAGUUACAGAACGAGGAUGGAGCUUGCAAUGAGUUAAAAUGUGUUAAAGACAGACUGGAGGAGAAAUUUCAGGUUUUUGUUGACCACCCAUACAGUGCUCAUGUGUUCCAGAGAGUAGAAACAACCGUAGAAAAGAAAAGGAAGAAAGUAAAUGAUGUGGCAGAAGGACUAAAAUCAGCAGAUUGUGAAAACGCAGAAGGUGUGCAGCAGCAAAAUGAGCACAAAACAGAUAGGAUGGAAGUAAAAUGUGUGGAUAAACAGACAGAGAGCAACAGGAGUGAUAACAAGUUAAAAGUGGUUAAUCAACACAGAAAAGAAAACAAGCUUAGUUUUUGUCCUGACUACCGACACAGACUUGAGACAUAUAUGCUUAAAAAUACACAAGACCUUGUGGAUUUUGCCUCCCCUUCAACAAGUGAUGCUGUUGUGCCAUGUCAGAAGGAGCCAAGUCCUUCACUAAAUGCUAACAGCCCCACAGCCCUAAACCGUCGUGGCAGGUUUUCCCCAGUGGCAUCAGCCUGUAUACGCUAUAACUGGGUGCCAGGGGAAGUUGAUAUUUUUGAGAAGAUACAGCUCUCACCAGAUGAUUAUGUUGAUAACGAUGCUGGCCGAGGUAUCAUGUCUGUCCUCACCGGUUUUCCUGGGCAACUGUUGAAGUCCCCUCAGCAACAACCUUCCUAUUCCACGCAAGAGCCUGAGGGUAAUCAUCAGUCGCCAGAAGAGCAGGAGAGGGAAGAAGAAGAGCUCCAGCAGGAUUGCCACACUGAAUACAUGGCAAAUGGACUUUUAAACAGUGAUGCAGGUUUUAAUGACACAAACUUCAUCUCAGCUGCACUUGGACAACCAGAGCAGCAGCCCAACUGUGAGUCCACCGGUGAUUCUUUGGAGCCUAUUAUGGUUGACUCAGCUACACAGUUGAAGUCUUCCACUGGUUCCACAGAGAGUGACAGUCCAGCCUCUGAUAUGAAACAGUACCCCGAGUUUGAGAUGAAAAAACAAUUCAACGUGGUCUUAAAAGAGCUGAACCUGUUUUUUGAUAUCAGCAAAAGUGAUCUUGCAAGUGACAGAACAUCAGUGCAGUGUUAUGUUGGUGAACCACUGAAGACAGAUUCUUCAGACUUCAAAGAUGUUCUCAGCAGCAUAGAUAUGGGAUGCCACAAAAACCCAUCAACAGAUAAUGCUGAUGAAGACCACAGCAUGGAAAUGUGUGGGGGUGAUCCAGUGAUUUCCUGUAAGGCUGGUGACGACGAGCAGGAGGUGCCGCUUGGCAGCCACAUGAAACAUGAGACAUGCCAGGACACCGCUGAAAAGCAAGGAGAGCUCUGGCAGGUAGAGCAGAGAAGAAAAAUGUGGUCUUCACCCUUCAUGUCUCAACAACUGAGAUACAGUCCACUAGAGCAGGCCAAGAGACUGGAACCGCUGAGAACAUGCUCACGGCCCAUCCGGGUUGGCCUUUCAAAGAGAGCCAAGACCAAACACCUGCACCGUCCCCACCCCUACAACUGAACAAGGCUGGGUCCCGCCUCCCAAAGGCCUCCGGCCCCACUUAUGUAACUGACAGCAUGGGCAGCAGGUUACGCAGGGAGCAGAACGUCGAUGGUCAGCUUUCCAAGCGGACGUCACCCAUCCUGCGUCAGGCCGUGAAGUAUCGUGGAAGAUCAAUCUGCAGCCCACUUUUCCAUUAGUGCAGCUUUAACCGAAGCAGCUAUUAAUGAUUCUCUGGACUCUGGACCGGAAGAGGUUAUGUGUGAUUUAUGUACAUUUUACGACUUGAAUUAAUCAGCUUGACACACACAUGGAACCGUCUGUGUUGAGGAGGCCAGGCAUCACACUGACUGAUCCUGACAGGAAGUGUGCCACAGAACCGCAGAGCCACAGCGCCAGAUGCAAUCACCCACGGGUCUGACGUGACAAGGAAAUGUAAAUGAGGGUCCUCAUGGGAGUUGAUCCACCAGGAGACGUGGCAUCGCUGUAAUUACAGACGCACGGACAGAAAGGCAAGUAGCUGGUGAGAUGGGAAAGGCCACAAGCUUCUUCAUCCAGCCAGACAAUUUAGCCGUCAUUCAGUUUGCUAAUAGUCCACUUUGUUCAUUGAGUUGGGUUUGAAGCUCGCUGUUAUUAUAGAGCCUGCAAAGAAUAAUAGAUUAAGCUAACGACUCUGUAAGAUUCAUUUGCAUUAAUAGUCAUUUUAUCAAAUAGUCGAUAUUUCGGCGCUACUCUGACUUUGAAACAGUCGCUGGUACUUGUUGGCUAAAAUCACCUACAAGCAACUACUGUAGAUGCAAGAUGCAACACACUGUCAUGGAAACACUUAACAGCAUCACUGCCUAUCGCCUUGACAUUCUUAGCAUAAGUGUCAUUGCUGGAAUUCCAAUCAUUUCUGUUCUAUUGUACGUGUUUGUCAUGAAGCAAUGAUCAAGACUGAUGUUACUUUUUGUUUAGUUUGCAUAAGCUGUUGUUCAUGCUUCUAAAUAGCAUUUAGUAUUUGGAAUAGCAAGAGGUUAGAAGCAGAAGCACAGAUUGUUUCAAUAAUAAAUACAUAUUUACUACAGUUGUUCUUUCCAAAUCACUAUGAGCUGCUCUUUCACAUACAGAGGUCACAAGCAGAUGUGUCG